rnacentral:rRNA from 1 species
AGCAGCCGCGGUAAUUCCAGCUCCAAUAGCGUAUAUUAAAGUUGUUGCAGUUAAAAAGCUCGUAGUUGAAUUUCGGGGUUAGUAGGUUGGUCAUGCCUCUGGUAUGUACUGGUCUCACUGAUUCCUCCUUCCUGAUGAGCCGUAAUGCCAUUAAUUUGGUGUUGCGGGGAAUUUGGACUGUUACUUUGAAAAAAUUAGAGUGUUUAAAGCAAGCUAACGCUUGAAUACAUUAGCAUGGAAUAAUGAAAUAGGACGUUCGAUCCUAUUUUGUUGGUUUCUAGGAUUGACGUAAUGAUUAAUAGGGAUAGUUGGGGGCAUUAGUACUCAAUUGUCAGAGGUGAAAUUCUUGGAUUUAUUGAAGACUAACUACUGCGAAAGCAUUUGCCAAGGAUGUUUUCAUUAAUCAAGAACGAAAGUUAGGGGAUCGAAGACGAUCAGAUACCGUCGUAGUCUUAACCAUAAACUAUGCCGACUAGGGAUCGGAUGAUGUUAAUUUUUUAAUGACUC